rnacentral:rRNA from 1 species
AAUAGAUACCCGGGUAGUCCAUGCCGUAAACGUUGGGCGCUAGAUGUGGGGACCAUUCCACGGUUUCCGUGUCGCAGCUAACGCAUUAAGCGCCCCGCCUGGGGAGUACGGCCGCAAGGCUAAAACUCAAAGGAAUUGACGGGGGCCCGCACAAGCGGCGGAGCAUGCGGAUUAAUUCGAUGCAACGCGAAGAACCUUACCAAGGCUUGACAUAUACGAGAACGCUCUAGAAAUAGAGAACUCUUUGGACACUCGUAUACAGGUGGUGCAUGGUUGUCGUCAGCUCGUGUCGUGAGAUGUUGGGUUAAGUCCCGCAACGAGCGCAACCCUCGUUCUAUGUUGCCAGCGGUUCGGCCGGGAACUCAUAGGAGACUGCCGGGUCAACUCGGAGGAAGGUGGGGAUGACGUCAAAUCAUCAUGCCCCUUAUGUCUUGGGCUUCACGCAUGCUACAAUGGCCGGUACAAAGGGCUGCAAUACCGUAAGGUGGAGCGAAUUCCAAAAAGCCGGUCUCAGUUCGGAUUGAGGU